ACUGACCUUAUGUGGAAACGUCCCAGGUUUGCAUCCCAGGUCUCCCUACUCUCAGUUUUUAUCAGCGAGGAGAUAGUUUCCUGUGACAGGGCAAAGAGAUCUUUCACCAUCCUCAGAGAGUGAAUCAGGAUUGAUCUUGUCAUCCUGGGGAUUUUCCACAGGUAGCCCUGGCCAGUCGUUGCAUCAUCUGGAGUUUGCAGGAGACCUUUGAUAACAUCGGCAUCAAAUA